UACGAAGGGGGCUAGCGUUGUUCGGAUUUACUGGGCGUAAAGCGCACGUAGGCGGUUUUGUUAAGUGAGAGGUGAAAUCCCAGAGCUCAACUCUGGAACUGCCUUUCAUACUGGCAAGCUAGAGUCCGGAAGAGGUAAGUGGAACUCCUAGUGUAGAGGUGGAAUUCGUAGAUAUUAGGAAGAACACCAGUGGCGAAGGCGGCUUACUGGUCCGGAACUGACGCUGAGGUGCGAAAGCGUGGGGAGCAAACAGG
rnacentral:rRNA from 1 species